rnacentral:rRNA from 1 species
AUGCAAGUCGUACGAGAGUUUUUAACUCUAGUGGCGGACGGGUGAGUAACACGUGAGAAUUUACCUUUAGGAGGGGGAUAACAGCGUAUCAAUAGAUAUUACGGAAACGGCUGCUAAUACCCCAUAUGCUUUUGAGUGAAAUAGAUUUAUCUGCCUAAAGAGAAGCUCGCGGCUGAUUAGCUUGUUGGUAAGGUAAUGGCUUACCAAGGCGACGAUCAGUAUCUGGUUUGAGAGGACGAUCAGACACACUGGAACUGAGACACGGUCCAGACUCCUACGGGAGGCAGCAGUGGGGAAUUUUCCGCAAUGGGCGAAAGCCUGACGGAGCAAUACCGCGUGAGGGAAGACGGCCUAUGGGUUGUAAACCUCUUUUUUCAGGGAGGAAUUCAAUGACGUGUACCUGAGGAAUAAGCAUCGGCUAACUCCGUGCCAGCAGCCGCGGUAAUACG